UAAAGAGUUCAAGCUUGUCCUAUCGAAAAGCAAAACCCUUGUGCAGGUUGUUUCGUUGGUGGACCGAACACUUCUGAGAAUUAAAAAAAAUCAAGAAAGGGAUGAUUUCAACACUAUAAAUUCAUUUCAUAGUGCGAAAACUCACUUGGAAGAUUUGGAUAAACAAGCAUCUUCUGUAUUCACACACGACGUGUUUAAGUGGAUUUUUAGGGAGAUCAUGAAAGAGGCUCAUAUCACACUAAAGCAAGGAACAUAAUGUCAUGAAGAUGGUUCCCAGGUUUACAAGGUAUCAGUUUACAAACGUCUUGAUUUUGAACACAUUGUUACCUACUACCCACGGAAAGAGACUGAAAGUGCAACAGACCCGAUUAUGGUGUGCUUUUGCAGAAUGUUUCGAACACAAGUACCAUUUCGAUUUCUAGAAAGUCUACUUCUUUGUGAUUUUGUUUAUGUAGAUGGUAGAUGUUUCUAAUGAAAACAUUAGAUGUUGUUUAUGUUAGUUGUAGACUUUGCAACUUUUGUCAUCUAAAUGGUUCAAACACAAAUACCAUUUUGAUUUCCAGAAAGUCUACUUCUUUGUGAUUUUGUUUAUGUAAAUGGUAGAUAUUUCUCAUGCAACUAGUAGAUGUGUCUAAUGAUAAAUGUGGUCGAUGACACGCUAGCGAUCCAAGGGAAUAAAGGUCAGGCCAAUCGGAGAGUAAUGUUUUGUGUGAAACGAAUGAUCGAUUGAGAUUUGAAUUAGGGUAUAGAGUGGACGGCUGGGAGCGAUGACACGUGGCAAUCAGGGGCAUGUGGGGUUCGGCCAAUGAAGAGUUGUGCUUUGUGUGAAACGAAUAACCGGUCAAGAUUUUUGGGUGAUUUUAUAAUCGACGGCCAAGAGCGAUGGCAUGUUGGCGAUCCAAGGGAAGUGGAGGUUAGGCCAAUGGAGUGGUUUUUUGAGUGCUACUGUUAUCAUGAGUCAUGUCUACUAUUUACAUGAGUUAAGUCUGCUGUUAUCAUGAGUCAUGUCUAAAAUUUAUAUAAGUUAAGUCUACUAUUGUUAUCUUUGUUCUUCGGAUGCUACUUUUUCCAAAUGAUUGAACAAAGGUGACAUCUCUUGUAUAUAGAGCUGCUUGUUCUUAAUGAUCGCACAAAGGUAACAAUACAUCUCGUGUAUGUAGGGCUAGUUGUUCCUAAUGAUCGAGCUAACGUGAUUAUCUUGUCUAUAGGGGCGCUUGUAUGUAAUGAUCGAGCUAAUGUGAUUAUCUUGUCUAUAGGGGCGCUUGUAUGCAAUGAUCGAUCUAAUGUAAUACGUCUUGUGUAUACGGGGCAACUUGUUUCAUAAUAAUCGAGCUAAGGUAGAUCGAAAGUAGGGUUUAAAUGUUUAGGGUUUAGGGUUUAUAUGAUUGUGCGGUUGAGAUUUGAAUUAGGGUAUAGAGUGGACGGUUGGGAGCAUGACACGUGGCCAUCCAAGGGAUGCGAGGUUCGGCCAAUGGAGAGUAGUGCUUUGUGUGAUUUAGUGAGCUGUUGAAAUUUUUGGGUUGGGUUUAGAAUCGACGGUUGGGAGUGAUUACACGCUGGCGAUCCAAAGGAAUAAAGGUCAGGCCAAUCGGAGAGUAAUGUUUUGUGUGAGGGGUUCGGCCAAUGGAGAGUCUACUUCUUUGUGAUUUUGUUUAUGUAAAUGGUAGAUUUUUCAGGACAAUAGUAUAUGUGUCUUAUGUUAAAUGUAGACUUUGCAACUUUUACCUUCGGUUGGUUCAAUCUUAAGAACAAUUUUGAUUUCCAGAGGUCUACUUUUUUGUGAUUUACCUCAUGUAAAUGAGAGACAUUUCUCAUAAAAACAGUAGUCUUGUCUCAUGUUAGUAGUAGACUUUGUAAUGUAAAUGGUAGACAAUUCUUAUCAAAAUAGUGGUCUUGUCUUAUGAUAGUUGUAGCAUUUUUAACUUUUGUCUUUUAGUGGUUCAAUCUCAAGAAUCUUACUCAACUUCUGCCUUCGGUUGAUUCAAUCUCAAGAACCAUUUUGAUUUCCAAAAAGUCUACUUUUCUGUGAUUUAGUUUAUCAUAAUGGUAGACAUUUAUAAUGAAAACAGUAUAUGUGUCUUAUGUUACAUGUAGACUUGCAAUUUUUACCUUCAGUUGAUUCAAUCUCAAUAACCAUUUAGAUUUCCAGAAAUUCUACUUACAUGUGAUUUAGCUUAUCUCAAUGGUAGACAUUUCUACUGAAAAUAGUAGAUGUGUCUUAUGUUAAAUGUAGACUUGCAACUUUUACCUUCGGUUGAUUCAAUCUCAAGAACCAUUUAGAUUUCCAAAAAGUCUACUUACCUAUAAUUUAGCUUAUCUCAAUGGUAGACAUUUAUACUGAAAAUAGUAGAUGUGUCUUACGUUAAAUGUAGACUUUGUAACUUUUACCUUCGGUUGAUUCAAUCGCAAGAACAAUUUUGAUUUCCAGAAAGUCUAUUUUCCUGUGAUUUACCUCAUGUAAAUGAGAGACAUUUCU
rnacentral:lncRNA from 1 species